GACGAACGCUGGCGGCGUGCUUAACACAUGCAAGUCGAACGAUGAAGCUAGAGCUUGCUCUGGUGAAUUAGUGGCGAACGGGUGAGUAACACGUGAGUAACCUGCCCCGAACUCUGGGAUAACUGCUGGAAACGGUAGCUAAUACUGGAUACGACCUACGAAGGCAUCUUCUGUAGGUGGAAAGAAUUUCGGUUCGGGAUGGACUCGCGGCCUAUCAGCUUGUUGGUGAGGUAAUGGCUCACCAAGGCGACGACGGGUAGCCGGCCUGAGAGGGUGAUCGGCAACACUGGGACUGAGACACGGCCCAGACUCCUACGGGAGGCAGCAGUGGGGAAUAUUGCACAAUGGGCGCAAGCCUGAUGCAGCAACGCCGCGUGAGGGACGACGGCCUUCGGGUUGUAAACCUCUUUUAGUAGGGAAGAAGCGAAAGUGACGGUACCUGCAGAAAAAGCACCGGCUAACUACGUGCCAGCAGCCGCGGUAA
rnacentral:rRNA from 1 species